GUGCCAUGGCGAUGAAUGAGUCCCAUAUAUUAAAUUUUCAUUUCACUUUGUCAGCAAUCUUCUUGGUUACUUGUUGAUCAUUAAAGAAUGGAAGAUUU